GGAGGUCACGGAGCUACAGCAGUAAGGAGGAUUAGGCAGCUGUAGCAGUAAGGAGGGUUAGGGAGCUGCAACAGUAUGGAGGGUUAGGGAGCUGUAACAGUAAGGAGGUCACGGAGCUACAGCAGUAAGGAGGAUUAGGGAGCUGCAGCAGUAAGGAGGGUUAGGGAGCUGCAGCAGUAAGGAGGGUUAGGGAGCUGCAGCAGUAAGGAGGUCACGGAGCUGCAGCAGUAAGGAGGGUCAGGGAGCUGCAGCAGUAAGGAGGGUCAGGGAGCUGCAGCAGUAAGGAGGGUCAGGGAGCUGCAGCAGUAAGGAGGGUCAGGGAGCUGCAGCA